rnacentral:rRNA from 1 species
UACGAAGGGGGGCUAGCGUUGUUCGGAAUUACUGGCGUAAAGCGCGCGCAGGCGGUCUUCCAAGUCAGUGGUGAAAGCCCGGAGCUCAACUCCGGAACUGCCAUUGAAACUGUUAGACUUGAGGACGAGAGAGGUGAGUGGAAUUCCCAGUGUAGAGGUGAAAUUCGUAGAUAUUGGGAAGAACACCGGUGGCGAAGGCGGCUCACUGGCUCGGUACUGACGCUGAGGUGCGAAAGCGUGGGGAGCAAACAGG